AGGAAGGAAGGGAGAGAGAGAGCUCUCUUCCAUCCUCUGAAUUAUUCCCCAAAUGCCUACAACAGCAAUGGCUGGGCCAGACCAAGGCCAGGAGCCCGGGGUGGGGGGCUCAAAAACUUGGGCCAUCGUCUGCUGCCUCCUGGGGUGCACAUGAACCAGAGCUGGAUUGGAAGCAGAGGUAGAACUUGAUGCCAGCACUCCGACAUGGGCUGUGGGCAUCUCAAGCACCUAAAGUCUGACCCUGGUCCCCAGCACCUGAGACAUCCUGCCGGGAAGAUGUUGGACAGGACCCCCAGCGCUCCCUGAGAACUGACCCACCCCCAGGGAAGAAUCCCCUGGUUCAUUUGUCCCCGUGGCCCUGCCCUGCCCUGAGACUGGACCAUCCUUUUCCGUUUGGUCUCCUUGGCCACAUUUGAGGGGCCAUUGGAGGCUAUGACUUUGUGAAGUGGAGUCGCUUUCUCUGUCUCCUUCAUGCCUAUAGCCAUUUGAGGACCCAAGGUUUGAACACUCAAGAGCUGGUGGCUUUGGCUGGGCGUAGGGGGAAUGUGAGGGAGGAGCAGUACAAUUUCUUUGAUAUUUGGUUUGUCUAUUUGAUUCCACUCAGUUCCAAGGGCCGAUAGCUGCAUCCAUAUAUGUAUAUAUAUGUUAUAAGUCAGAGUUACACACAGAGAAGGAGAAGCAGAGAGGGAGAGAGAGGUCUUCCAUCCGCUGGUUCACUCCCCAAAUGGUCGCAGUGGCUGGAGCUGAGCCAAUCUGAAGCUGAGCCAAUCUGAAGCCAGGAGCCAGGAGCUUCUUCCGGGUCUCCCACGUGUGUGCAGGGGCCCAAGCACUUGGAAAUUCUUCCAGUGCUUUGCCAGGCCAUAGCUGAGAGCUGGAUCGGAAGUGGAGCAGCCAGGACUCGAACCGGCGCCCACAUGGGAUGCUGGCGCCACAGGCUGUGGCUUUACCCUGUUGUGCCACAGCGACCCCCCUCCAGUUCUUUCCAGUCCUGCCUCUCAUGCCUCUCUUCAGACUCAAUGGCAGCCCUCUCUCUUGGGAGAGCUCCACUCCUAAUGUCCUCCCUCUGAAUCAUCUUGACUAAUGGAAAGAAAUGUACUGGGAACUCCGGUGAUCAGUUGCGAGGUUUUUACAACACGCAUAACAGCCACACUUAAUAAGGCCCUUGCCACAGGAUGAGUUUUAAUUUAACUUUGUUGCUCAAGGGCCUUCUCGGUAGGAUCUUUUACUGGUGAAAAAGUAUGGCUCGCUUGCCUGGAGUUUCUAUAGUCUCUUCCAUUUCUGCUUAAAAACUCAUGGCAGGGGGCAGCAUUGUGAUGUGGUGGGUUAAGCCACCACCUGUAACACCAGCAUCCCAUAUGAAUGCCGGUUCGAGUCCUGGCUACUCCACUUCCGGACCAGUUCCCUACUAAUGGUCUUGGAAAAGCUGAACAUGGCCAAGUGCAUGUCUCCCUGUGGGAGACCCUGAAGAAGCUCCUGGCUCUUGGAUUCGAAUGGGCCCAGCUCCAGCUAUUGUGGCCAUUUGGGGAGUGAGCCAGUGGGUGGAAGAUCUCUGUCUCUCUCUGUAAUUCUGCAUUUCAAAUAAAUUGAAUAUAUAUAUACAUAUAUAUGUAUAUGUGUGUGUGUGUGUAUAUAUAUAUAUAUAUGCUGGAAUCAGAAGUGGAGCAGCCUGGACUUGAACUGGGACCCAUAUGGGGUGCCAGCGCCAUCUACCCACUUUGCCUCAAUGCCGGCCUCAGCCUGGGUCUUCCAAAGAUAGGAAAAAGAAGAGAUGCCCUUUCUCCUAAAUGACAUGACUCAGAAGUAUACAUCCUUUCUGCUUUCAGCCUGGUAGGAAGAAUUUAGUCACAUGGCCACAGCCAGCUGAAAGGGUUGCUGAGAAUAGAAUAUUUUUUAAAAGUUUAUUCAUUUUUAUUUAUUUGGAAGGCACAGCAACAGUGAGGGAGAUAGAUAGAUAGAUAGAUAGAUAGAUAGAUCGAUCGAUCGAUCUUCCAUCCACUGGUUCACUCCCCAAAUCCCAGCAAUAGUCAAGGCUGGGCCAGGCUGAAGGCAGGAGCCAGGAACUCUGCCCGGGUCUCCCAUAUAGGUGGCAAGACUCAAUACCUGUGCCAUCAUUCUGCUGCCCAGUAGGCACAUGAGCAGGAAGCUGGACUGGAAGCAGGAGCAGAGGCAGGACUGGUCCCAGGCACUCAGGUAUGGGCUGCAGUUGUUCCAAGUGACAGCUGCACCUGCUAUGCCACCACACCUGCCUCCAGAAACAUAGCUUAAUCCUGAGGGUUUUACUGGUAUUGUGGCUGCAGUGGGUUAAGGUACUGCCUGCCAUGCCGGCAUCCCAUGUGAGUUCUGGUUCGAGUCCUGGCUCCACUUUUGAUUUGGUUCCCUGCUGAUGCACCUGGGAGGGCUUCAGAAGAUGGCCCAAGGAUUGCGGGCACCCAGAUGGAGUUCUCAAUUCCUGGCUUCAGCCUGGCCCAGCUGGGACCAUGCCAUGGAGGCUAUCUGGGAAGUGAAGCAGUGGAUGAAAGUGCUCUCUCUCUCUCUUUCUACUCUGCUUUCAAAUAAGAAAAAAAAAUCUUUAAAAGAAAAGUUCUUCUCUGGAAGAGGAGAGAACGGAUACCACUGGAUGUGAAUUCUUCACAGCUGUAUUAGUUCCCUACAAUGACGUGACAAUGAUCACACAUCUAGUGGCUUAAAACAACACGCAUUUGUCCUCUUAUAGUCUUAGAGGCCAGAAGUCCAAAAUCAGUUUCACAGAGCUGAAGUUAGGGUGUCGGCAGGCUGGUCCCUACUGGGGGCUCUGAUGGGGAAUCUGUCUCCUUGCUUUUUCCAGCACCUGCUGGCUGCCUGUGUUGCUUGGCUGCUGGCCCCAUCCUCCGUUGGAAAUCGCAUCCAUCCAGUCUCUGAGGCCAUCGUCAGCUGCCCUCUCUGACUCUUUUUUUAAAAAGAUUAUUUAUUUGAGGCCGGCGCCACGGCUCAAUAGGCUAAUCCUCUGCCUGCGGCACCGGCACCCCGGGUUCUAGUCCCGGUCGGGGCGCCGGAUUCUGUCCCUGUUGCCCCUCUUCCAGUCCAGCUCUCUGCUGUGGCCCGGGAGUGCAGUGGAGGAUGGCCUAAGUCCUUGGGCCCUGCACCCACAUGGGAGACCAGGAGAAGCACCUGGCUCCUGCCUUCGGAUAAGCACGAUUCGCCGUCCGCGGCAGCCAUUGGAGGGUGAACCAACGGCAAAGGAAGACCUUUCUCUCUGUCUCUGUCUCUCUCUCCCUGUCCACUCUGCCUGUCAAAAAAAAAUAUUCAUUUAUUUGAAAGUUAGAGUUAGAGAGAGGAGGAGAGAGAAAGAGAUAGAGAGAGAGAGAUAGAGAGAUGAGAGAGAGAGAGAGAGAGAGAGAGAUCUUCCAUCCACUGGUUCAUUCCCCAGUUGGCUGCAACGGCUGGAGCUGAGCCAAUCCGAAGUCAGGAUCUAGGAGCUUCUUCUGGGUCUCCCAUGCGGAUGCAGGAGCCCAAGGCUUUGGGCCAUCUUCUACUGCUUUCCCAGGCCAUAGCGGAGAGCUGGAUUGGAAGUGGAGCCAUCCCAUAUGGGAUGCCGGCACUGCAGGUGGCGGCUUUACCUGCUACGCCACAGCGCCGGCCCCAACCCUCUCUGAUUCUUAUUUCUCCAGUCUCUCUCUUCCAAGGACCCCUGUGAUCACACUGGGCCCAUCUGGAUAAGGCAGGGAUCUCUUCCCCAUCCUCAGCUCCUCCUUACCUUAAUCACAUUCUCAAAGUCCCUUUUGCCAUCGUACAAGAGACUUCACAAAGUUUGUGGAAAAUGGAAUUGAAAGCCAACACGAGCCUGGUGUUUAAGAUACCCGCAUCCCGUAUUGGAGUGCCUAGGUUGUUCACUGCCCAGCUCUGGCUCCUGACUCCUGGGAAGCAGUGAUGAUGGCUCAAGAACUUGGGUCUCUGCCACCCACAAGGGAGACCUGGACAGAGUUCUCAGCUUCCAGCUUCUGCCAUGCCCAGCCCAGCCCAGCCCAAUCCCAGACAUUUAGGCAUGUGAGGAGUGAACAAGUAGACUGGCUGGAGGUCUCUCUCUCUCUCUCCCCCUGCCAAAACCAAUAAAAAGAUGCAUAUUUGGGGACCAGCAUUAUGGCACAGCUAGUUAAGCCACCAUCUGCAACACUGACAACGGCAUCCCACAUGGACACCGGUUCGAGUCCCGGCUGCUCCACUUCCUACCCAGCUCCCUGCUAAUGUGCCUGAGAGAGCAGUAGAGGAUGGCCUCUGCACCCAUGUGGGAGACCCGGAUGGAGUUCCAGGCUCCUGGCUUCGGUCUGGUGCAACCCCAGCUGUUGUGGACAUUUGGAAGAUAUUUUCUCUCUCUCCCUCCCUCCCUUCCUCUCUUGUAAGAUUUUAUUUAUUUGAGAGGUAGUUACAGAAAGAGAGGGAGAGACAGAGAGAAAGGUCUUCCUUCCACUGGUUCACUCCCCAAAUGGCCGCAACUGCUGGAGCUGGGCUGAUCUGAAGGCAGGAGCCAGGAGCUUCUUCCAGGUCUCCUCCGUGGGUGCAGGGCCCCAAGCAUUUGAUCCAUCUUCCACUUCCAUAGGCAGAGAGCUGGAUUGGAAGAGGAGCAGCUGCGGGGACAUGAACUGGCACCCAUAUGGAAUGCUGGCACCACAGGCAGAGGCCUAGCCUACUACACCACAGCGCCGGCCCUGUCACUCUUCCUUUCAAAUAAACAAACAAAUAAAUAAAUAAUCUUUCAAAAGCAAAACGAAACCAGAGGUUUCUCCAGCCAGCAACAGGCAACACAGGCAGAAUGGGAAGGCAGAGAAAAGUGGAGUAGGGCAAGGGCUUGAUGGCGCUGCCGGCUGUGACGUCAGGAACCCCAGCAAAGGAGUGGAGGUGGCCCAUGGCAAGCAAAGAAAGCGACCUUGGCGCUGGUGUUAUGGCGUAGCAGGUAAAGCCGCCUGCAGUGCCAGCAUCCCAUAUGGGCGCUGGUUCAAGUCCCGGCUGCUCCACUUCUGAUCCAGCUCUCUGCUGUGGCCUGGGAAAGCAGUGGAAUAUGGCCCAAGUGCUUAGGCCCCUGCACCUGUGUGGGAGACCUGGAAGAAGCUCCUGCUUCUGGCUUCGGAUUGGCGCAGCUCCGGUCAUUGCAGCCAUUUGGGAAGUGAAUCAAUGGAUGGAAGAUUCUCUCUCUCUGCCUCUGCUUUUCUGUAACUCUGUCUUUCAAACAAAUAAACAAAUUGAAGGAAGGAAAGAGAAAGAGAAAGAGAAAGAGAAAGAGAAAGAGAAAGAGAGAGAGAGAGAGAGAGAGAGAGAGAGAGAGAGAGAGAAACCCCGGCCGCUCUGGCCAAACCCAGCUGAAUUCUGCUGAUAACCUGGGUGAGCCUGCAUGUGAACUCCAGAUACGAGCCCAGGCUAAAGAGCCUACUCAGCCAAGCCUGCGGGACUUGGGACCCACAGGGCUAGGAGAAAUGGAGCCGGUUUUUAGCUCCUACAAUUUGUGAUCAUCUAACCUAACAUGGCGAUAUCUGACCUGAGGUUUGACAGGAGAGAAGGAGCAGCCUGGGCAAAACGAGGUCACUGGGUUCCACCCCAAGUCCAGAGCAAGGGCAAAGGCCCCAAGGCCAUGCAGGAAUGAGAAGAAAGCGAACGCCAUCCUGGCUGGAGGCUGCCGGGUGGAAGGAGUAGGUGGGAGGGGGCCCCGGCCGGGGAGGCACUGUAGGGCAGGCAGGCUCGGGGUUCGUGUGUGCUGUGGGGAGCCAUUGCACGGCGCCCUAAAGAUGGCGCCGGCUCCUUUCCCCCGGAAGGACUGGCGAGAAACAAACAUCUCCUAAUAAGGAGAUGUCUGAGCUCCCUUCCAGCUUCCGCAUUGCUGUACCAAUCAAUGCUUGCCACUUGGCUGCUUUUGAUUGGUGUGCUGAUGGCUAUAAGAGGGAUGGGAGAGGGAAGGAGGCGGAAGAAGAAGCUUGUUCAAGGUUCCUGAAUAAACUGCUGGAAGAAGAGUUCGGGUCGUGUCUUCCUUGCUGGUCGAGGGACGCGACAACUGGUGGCCCGUACGGGGAACCAUCUCAAACGCGAACUCAGAACUUCCUGCAGUCAGGGCAGCGCUGGUUUCGCAUUUUUCUAUUGCCAGUAUGAGUCUUGAUUGGAAAAACUGCACCAUGAAGCUGUUUACGUUAUAUCUUUAAUGUUUGAGUGAGUACCUAACUUUGAUCAGAUCUAGUCCACAGCCUUGGUUAAACGUACUAAUUUUUGACUAAAAUGGUUUGACUCUCUGAUAGUUUAAAUUCUAAACCGAGUCUUUCAACUUUGGGGCUUCCAGUCGGAUCCCUGGAACUCUCAAAGGAUGGGACUCUAAAUUUGUUAAAGUAACAGCUGUUUGAGUCAAUUCAAAUUAUACAAAGUGUAUUAAAAUGUAGUAAAUGAUGUCAAAUCUAUGUUGUAUUCAUGUUUUUGCUUUUCAGCUAAAGUAGUCUUAUAAAAAUGAGAGUAAAUUCUGUGUACACAAGCCUUUCUGUUGUUAACUCAAGUAAGCCAAUACAGAUUGGUUCAGAAAAUUGGGUUAAUGCAAACGCCCUUUGGUUUACUUGCUCAGUUUUACAUUUACAUGUCUUUGAUAUGCUUUAAACUUGUUUCUCUUAAGGAUGAAGAUCUUUUCAAAGUUGUAAAUAUGCACUAGUGACUGUUGCUGCCCAAGUGGUGUUAUCCUUAUGUUACUUAAAAGCAUGGAAAUGUAAUUUUGACUUUUAAUUCAGAUAAUGGUGUGGUAUUCAUUAAUAGCUCAGUGUUUUAAGUUAUCCAGGCAUCGGUGCUAAGUAAAAUAUGGAAAACAUAUUAUGUGUACUUUUAACAUCUUAAAUUUGAUAAGAGAGACUUUUAAGUUUGCCAGCAUGUAUUCUCAUAGGUUGUCCAUACAUGAUAAUUCAAGACUGUAAAAGUAACUACAGGUAUAAAGUUUCAGAAGGUGUGAGCAAGUCAUGAAAAGUUGUAAAAAGUUUGAUUUUAAAACAUUGUUUACAGAGUUUUCUAUAAGUUAAAUGUUAAUGCCAAAAUUACACUAACCUAAAGUUGAAGUCUGAUCUUCUGUUAUAACAAUGGGAUUUUUUUAAAUGUUUACUAAUGUUAGUAAUUAUCUGGAAAUGGUCUCAAUUGUAAAUCUUAAAAUCUGUUGUUGCAAAAACUGUAACAUCUCUUUUUAACACUACUGUCUGUUAAGUUAUGAUUGAUAAAAAUAUUAAGUCUUAAAAAGUUAUGUUAAAUAUUAUUAUGAUCAGAUCUGGUCUAAAAGUGUUAAAAUCGCCCUGACUAAAUGUUAAGGAAUUCUAUUUUGACCAGAUACUCUAAGUUCUCUUGGCACCUUUAACAGACUUUCUGAAAAUCAAAGUUCUAAAUUCUCUGGAAUUUUGGUCUCUCCAGAGGGCCCCUGGAGAUGUCAAAAGAUAUAUCUCUCAUCUUGCAGAGAUAAUAACCAAUCGGGCUGUUUAGAUUAAAAGUGGUGCCAAGAUGUGAAAUGAUGCUAAACUUCAGCUAUAAACGUGUUUCUUUCUAGCUGCUCCAGUCUCUGGCUCAGAAGCCAGAUCCUUUAAAGAGGGACUGACAAAGUCUAAGAAGCAUCCCAUGGUCAUGAUUUGCAUCACCUCAAUGUCCAAACCUUAUGAUUAAGAUACGGAAUCACCCGGGAACAGGCAAGGCAAAUUGUAAAAUCCUGCCCUUCCUGUGUCACAUUUCUCCCGGUCCCUUAUUAUGGUGUAAAUCCUAGAGGUUUUAUGCCUAGUCAGCUUUGGCAGAUGGAUGUUACCCAUUUUUCUGAAUUUGGUAAACUAAAAUACAUACAUGUUUAUUUAGAUACAUGUUCAGGUUUUGUUUUUGCCACCCCGCAAUGUGGCGAGGCUGCCAAACAUCUCUAAUUGCCUUCAGACCUUUGCUGUUCUAGGAACCCCUAUACAGAUAAAAACUAAUAAUGGCCCAGCGUAUACUUCCAACUCUUUUAAGCACUUCUGUACUAACUUCCACAUCUCUCAUCACCGGGAUUCCUUAUAAUCCCCAGGGACAAGGUAUUGUGGAACGAGCACAUGCCACAUUAAAAAAUUAUUUACAAAAAAUAAAAAAGGGGGAAUACAGGACCAUGGCAUAUUCCCCACAAAAAUGGCUAUCACAUGCUCUUUUUAUUUUAAAUUUUCUAAUACUGGAUAAUCAAGGGAAAGCUGCAGCUGAUCGUCACUGGCAUCCUGAAACCAAAAGACAACAAGUCUAUGUGAAGUGGAAAGACCCUCUAACUGCUCAAUGGUAUGGACCUGACCCUGUUUUAAUAUGGGGACGUGGACAUGUUUCUAUAUUCUCAAUGGUUACCUGAGCGACUGGUGCGGCAAACAGACAAUGUCACAAAGCAGCCCCUUGAUCUUCAUUAUAACAUUGCUGAUUGGGAUCGUUACUGCAGCCGUUAUAACCGCCAUUUCCAUUGCAGCUGUGGGCGCUACAACAGCUGCUAUAGUGCUCACAGGGACAGUUCAAACUGCUAAUACCCUGAAUAAUUUAACGGCCUCCGUGGCUGCUGCUUUGGAUACUCAGACAUCCUUAAAUGUACAUAUAAAGGGAGGCUUGAUGAUUGUUAAUCGGCGUGUGGAUUUGGUACAGGAGCAGGUGGAUACUCUCUGGCAGCUUGCUCAGCUAGGAUGUGAGUGGAAAUUUUCAGGGUUGUGUGUGACCUCUGUUCAGUACGAUAACAUGACUCAGGCAGCAAACUACUCUAAACAGUUGUCUCAGAUGCUCUUGCAGAAUUGGUCCGCAGAAUUUGACUACACCUUGAAGCAACUGUGCCUUGCCGUGGUCACCAUCAACUCCACACGUGUGGAUGUCUCCUUCGCAUCUGGAUUGUCAUCCUGGAUCCGCACAGCCGUCUCCAACCUGAAGGAGUGGGUGGGACUUGGAGCUUUGACGGGUUGCUGUUACUUGUUGUGUUAUUUUGCCUGUGGUGUUUGUGCAGGAUGAGGACAGCUCAUUGGCGGGAAUUGGCCAUGAUAGCUCAAGCCUUUUAUGCCCUUGAGGCUGGACAAUCGCCGCAAGCAUGGCUGGCCUUCCUUGAAUGCUAGGCAUGGGUGCAGGGUGCGAGGCAAAGCACUGCAGAGAGAACGAGCCAUUACGUUCUCUGGAAGGCAAGUCUGUCUGCAUGUGGGUUGGCAUCCCAGAUCCCACCCCCGCGAAAAGGAUGCUGUUCCAGGUGGAUGCCUGGCAGUGGGGGACAGACCUCUACCUUCUCCUGUAAUCCUUAGAUGCCUGGUUCUAAAACAAAAAGGGGGAACUGUGGGGAGCCAUUGCACGGCGCCCUAAAGAUGGCGCCGGCUCCUUUCCCCCGGAAGGACUGGCGAGAAACAAACAUCUCCUAAUAAGGAGAUGUCUGAGCUCCCUUCCAGCUUCCGCAUUGCUGUACCAAUCAAUGCUUGCCACUUGGCUGCUUUUGAUUGGUGUGCUGAUGGCUAUAAGAGGGAUGGGAGAGGGAAGGAGGCGGAAGAAGAAGCUUGUUCAAGGUUCCUGAAUAAACUGCUGGAAGAAGA